UGAAUGAGCUUGAGCUGUACUGUCAAGGUGAGAAGACAUUAAAUAACUGCUGAGGUUUGGGGUUGGAAUUUUUUUUGUGUGAUUUUUUUUUUUCUCAUGUAACCAAAUACCAAUAAUCUCCUUUCUGCAUAGACUUACCACAUGUAGCAGUCUAAAGGGGAUCUGUGGAGUUCGUCUUGAGAAAAUACCACUGUUUUGGAACUAUUCCAGCCAGAUGCUGAGCAUUUUGCUGUUGACCUCAGGUGCUGAAUUAACAUGAUGCAACCCAGAGAUGCAAAGGGAUUUCUUUCAUUAACAGUGCUGUGAUGCUAGUGAGAACAGAAGAUGUGUUUCCUAGACAACCACCAUCACUCUGAAGAAACAUGGAGGAAAAAGCAGUGCGAUCCUUCUGUGAAGACCAGGAUACAUUAUGUGAAGGAUAACUGUCCCUCAAGUGCUUAAAAG
rnacentral:lncRNA from 1 species